AAUUGCAUGGUGACGACAUGUUGAUCCUUUUGCAUGGUUGUAACAUGAAAUUUUGCAUGCAUGAUUCGUUUUCAUUGCAUGAUGAACAAUGUUAGCCAUAAAAUUUUAAUAGUGCCAGAUUUUAGUAAUAAAUCAAAAUAAAGUUUACUUUAACCAAAAAAUAGUUGCAUUAAACAUUAAAAGAUUAGGAAUUUCAUUCAAAUCAAUCUAGUUCGUACUGGGAUACUCAAGUAUCGCUGCUGCAAAUUCAGGCACACAAGCUAGCCUAAGCAGCUGGAUGCCCCUUCUCUCUAAUGACCUAUCCAAAAUGUGAAGAAGUUCAUAGUCUAUGGACCCCUUGUGUCUUAUUAUUUCCCGCAUGCAAGCCAGAAGCUUUCCUGUUGCCUUCCGAUUACCGAAGGUCCGAGGCCGUUCGUGUGUUUGCGAAAGUUGUGCUCCUUCAACAACUUGUGAACGGUGGUCUUCUUCAUAUUCAAUGCACUAGCGACAUCUCGGAUCGUUUUUCGAUCCUUCGGAGGUACAGCCAUUAGAGCAUCCAAGUCCAACGCAGCACGCUUUCUUCCAACUCUACCGGCCUUCUUGUUGAUGACCGCAUUCACACCGCCACCUCGCCUAGCAUUCUCCCAUAUCCGCCGGAGGACCCUAGCUGGCACGUCUGUUCGAUCUGAUAAUUCUUUACUCACCCCACGUCUUAGUGGACCACAACCAUUUCUCUCCAAAAUAAUCGCAUACAGCGCACGCUUAUCAUUAUCGUUGUAAAAUGUUCUUCUCUUUUUAUUGGCCAUCUCAACUAGGAAAAACAUACAAGGAUAGCAUUUUGUUAAGUUUGAAACUAGGACAACAAAAUCCUAUUAACUCUUAUCAUUCAUUUGAUAAUCCAGUUUUAGGAUAAACAAAACAUGCAGCUUGAUGACAACAAAUACUCAUACUAGGAUUCAACAACUAAAUUAGCGAUACACGUGCAAUCUUCAUCUAUGAAUUCUAUAACUUCCUAAUCGUCAUUAUAUAUAAUAGCCAGAAUUACACAGGUGCAAUCUCUACAGUACUAUAACAGAAAAAAAUGUACAGUGUUCAUUCUCUACAAUAUUUUGCAAUAAUCUCCAUUGAUGAAACAUAUUACUACUGUUCAUUAUUAGUAGAAAGAUAUUGACAUAUGCAAUCUCCAUCUAUGAAAUUGAAACCUAUAUAAUAUUUAAAAAAAUUGCACUGCUCAUAAUCUACUCAGAAUCAGAAAUAGAAAUAAAUAGGCCCAUAAAUGUAUUAUACGUAUAUACUAACAACAAUGUGCCUAUGUUCAUGAUCUAAAGUGCUUAUUUUUUAAAUCCACCACAACAAUAACUGAAAGCAUGAGUUUAAACUAACAAAAAACGAGGCUACUUUACUUUAAUCUCAUUAAGUGUAAUCUUCCUCUAUCAAUCACUACAUAGAAAAAUUAUGCCCACUGUUCCAUUGCAUGAGCAUGAGUACCAAAUCACAAGCAAAGUAGGUAGGACGCAAACCUACUUAGUUCGGUGCCGGUGUCAUGGCCGUGGUCGUUCUUGUCCGUGCCUCCUGCGCCGCACCCUUCAUCACCGCCAGCUGCAGCAUCAUCGUCAUGGCGGUCGCAGCCAGGCCAGCCGCGACACUCGGAUCUCGCCACGGAUGUCACGCGACCAGCGAGUCCAGCGCCUAAAGAACCGGCUGCUUCGCGCACGGCAGCGAGUGCACGAGCACGACUGAAGCCGCCGUGGUUGCCUCCUCCGCUCAAGAUCGACGGGAGCGAUCCGCGGCUCGGGUCGAAUGCUCCUCGCCCACCUAGCCGAGGCAGGCCCGCGACGGCUUCUCCACCGGCGCCAGCGGUCCAGCCGCGCCUUGCUCGACCUCCACGUGCCAGGCCCAGGCCGGUGGCGCCCCGUCCACAAGCGACCCCUCCGCGACCGCCACCGCCGCCGGUAGACCCACCAUGCCCACGGUUCAGGUCGCCAGCUUCAUCUCGCGGUCUCCCAGCUUCCACUCGACCGUCUACGUCUACAGGAUCCAGGUUUAGAUCAAAGAACGCCAUGGAGUUUCAGGACGAGGAAGAAGAGGAAUGAAUAAUAAGUAUAGCACGUUUGGAGUUCAAACCUUCGUGCCAUUUUUUCUGCUAGGCAGCGCAGGGAUUGGAUCGACAUGUGGCGCCGUAAAUUGGGAAAUGGGCAUUGUUGCACGCGACGCGUGGAAGGGAGCGAGGUCGCCGGUUGGGUCACUAGUGAGGCGGAAGAGAAGACGAUGGGGUUGCCUGCAAUAACUGCGUUUUGUUGGGAGGAGCAUGGCCGAUCGAAUCCCGUCGGGCGGUUGCAUAUCGCUCGAUAAUCCCUAGUCACUAGAGUCACAUCUCGUCUUCCCUCGCAAAAAAGAGACAGAAAUCUCGUUUUGGUACAUGUUUCCGGUGGACGGUCCGUUUGCAAAGGCCAUAGACGCCGAGAGCACCAAACAUCAAAGAGAUGCCAUGUGGCAUGUCCGUUCCCAUGUAAGGUUGGUCAUAGUGGGUAGUUGGUCAUAGUGGGUAGUAACUUAGACUAAUAACAUGCACCUUGUUACUAGUCUACUCCCUCCGUCCACGAAUAAGUGUACUUAGUUUUUAUCCUAAGUCAAAGUUUAAAAAGUAGUAACAUAUAUAAUAUCAAAUUGAUAUAUUAUGAAAAUACAUUUCAAAACGAAUCUAGUGAUACUAAUUUAGUGUCAUAAAUGUUGCUACUUUUCCCUAUAAAGUUGGUCAAAAAUUUAAAACUUUAAUUUAAGACAAAAGCUAGAAGUACACUUAUUCGCGGACGGAGGGAGUAUGUUACUACCUUCGUAGUGGAGACUAACAUAAGUGUGAUAACAUAUAAAUCUUCAUUUAUUGCUUUGUAGACUCAUUUUGCAUUGGGAAGCGCUAUGUGAUGGUAACAUAUUAUGUUACUCUAUUUGCCUCUCUUUUCAUUAAUUGCCUAACACAUCAUCUUCUUUACUUAUGUGGCAUGCGGGCUCUAUACCUAUGCCAUGUCAUCUAUAGCCUUUGUAAAAAAAUCUCAUAUAAUAAGGCUAGCAGUAAGUUGGCUGUAGCAAUUAAUGUUUCCAUGCAUGGGUAAGAAGGCAAGGGCACUUGAUUGGAAGGGAAAAGGGGAGCCCCAGACUUUAGCACUUUAUGAGGGCUGCAUGCAUUAUUUUAUCCCGUGCGCAGUGCUAUAGCGGAAAAAAAUUGUAUGAGACCGGGUCUCAUAGACCAGCUUGUGAGACCCUAUCGGAUGAGCGACAUGUGGCAUCGACAAUCUCAGAGCACCCUAAUCCCACUUCAUGUCUGAUCUCAAUCCCAACAGCUGAUUCCCGAUUCCAGAACCCCACGUACGUACGUACGUACAUCCUUCGUCGCUCUAAUAGGUACCUGGGACUAGGGUUUUCUUUAUUUUCCUCGCGUCUAUGGCGGCCACGCCCAAGGGCCUCGACGGCGGCGGCCAACCGGCACGACGCAGCAGCGAGGACCUCUCUUCCAUGACCUCGCCGAAGAAGCUCAUCGCCGGCGGCCUGUCGGACGGCUCGUCCAUGGCGGAUGCAUGCCAUGAUGUUGGCCCGGCGGACACCACGUUCAUGGCGGGCGUGCAGCAAGAUGCAUCCAGCUGCUAUGUGAUACCGCAGUCCUCCAUGGCGGCGAACUCCCGGCCGGUGGUUCCAAUGUUAUCUAAGGCGCCACAUCCAUCUAUAACUCUUCCAGUCCCGGUAAGUGAUCCAUGCGGCCAAGCUGGCUGAGUGAUUGCACUAGUCCAGUGCUUGGCAACUAUCUGAUUGCUUACACUGAAACUCGUGAACUAUGAAGCUUAUGCAACCCGGAAGCCAAGAAGAACAUAUGGUGGGUGUGCGUCAAGACAUCGUUCUGGCCGGCCGGACAAACUCGUCAACCGCGGCGACGCGUCAAGGCGCGUCCAGCAGCUCCGUCAUGCAUUCAGUCAGGGCGGCGCCAGCGGCGGCGACGGCGAUAUGUGGGUCUAGGACUUGUCCUAUCACGGUGCGUGUGAGAUGCAUGGGUACAUAAGUAUUCAGAAUAUACAUGUGCAUAGUUCUGCGCUAGCUUGGUUCAUACAUUCGAUGCUAGCCACUGUUAUAUAUAGCAUUAGUUGUAGAACUGAACUUGAAAAUAUGUAAAUUAAUAAUGUUGAAUUAUGUUGUUCGAACGCCAGGAGGAAAAUAUGGAAUUCUGUAAAUCGACAAACAGUGCAAUGGGCGAGUCGAUCCGUGAGCCUAUGACGCCGAGAAAUAUGUUUACCCAUGAUACUGGCCUGGAGUUUGUGGGAGUUGAUAAAGGAGAAGAAAAUUGUGUAAGUAAGGUAAAUAAUACCAUAUAAACCUAUCUUUUAAUAUAAAAUAUGUAUCGAUUGAUUUUAAAAUAAUUAUACUACAAUGCUGAUGGUGUUGGUGUAUUUCAUGUGUGUAACAGGAUAAUCCGAAUGCAUCUUCAAAGCAGAUUGUGCCAAAGAAGGGAAUGAGUUUUGAUUCUGAAGAAGAGGCAUACAAGUUCUAUAACGCGUAUGCCAAAAGUAAAGGAUUUAGUGUCAGAUGGACACACAGAAAAGCAAGAGCAGAUGAUACCUUAUCUGCUAGGUAUUUAGUUUGCAGUAAGGAAUGAGUAAAGGGUAAACAUAGCACACAUGAGACGAGGAAAGAACGGGCUUCUACGAGGACAGAUUGCAAAGCUCGUGUUCAGUUCCAUAUUACUCCGGCGGGUGUUUGGUUGAUUCAGAAGGCUGUCAAUGAGCACAAUCAUCACAUGGUAUCUCCGGACAAGGCACACAUGUUAAGAUCACAACGACAGUUACUAGAUGUCGAUAAACACAUGAUCAACCACAUGCGGUCAGCAGGUAUACGACCAUCGAAAAUAUAUAAUUAUUUUGAAGAAUGGUGUGCAGGAGCACAAAAUGUGCCUUUCUUGGAGAUGGAUUCCAAUAACUAUAUAACAAGAGAGCGUAGCAAGUAUUUGGAGACCAAAGAUGCCCAAACUCUCAUGGAGUAUUUAAAGAACAAACAAGUGGAAGAUCCAUCAUUUUUCUAUGCUGUGCAACUUAAUAAAGAGGAUGGUACACUAGCAAAUUUCUUCUGGGCUGAUGGACAAUCAAUAAUGGAUUAUUCUUCAUUUGGAGAUGUUAUUUCUUUUGACACCACAUUCUCCACCAAUAAGUUUGAAAUGCCAUUUGCUCCUCUGCUUGGUGUUAACCAUCACAAGCAGACUAUUGUUUUCGGUGCUGCAAUAAUAUUUGAUGAAACUGCCGACUCGUUUGUGUGGCUUUUCAGCACCUUCCUACAAGCAAUGUCCGGUAAGGAGCCAAAAACAAUUUUCACUGAUCAGUGUGUUGCAAGUAUGAAUGCAAUUGCAGAGGUAUUCCCGAGCGCAAGCCAUCGCCUUUGUCUAUGGCAUCUAUAUCAAAAUGCCGUUAAACAUCUGAGUCAUGUUAUUGCUGACCAUCCGGAAUUUCUUUCUGAACUCAAGCAGUGUGUAUGUGAAGAAAGGUCAGUUGCACAUUUUGAAUCAAGAUGGCAUGAUUUAUUGGUUAAAUACAGCCUCGAGGAUAAUUCUUGGAUUAACAAUAUGUUCAAAUUUCGUGAGAAGUGGGCAACCGUAUAUAGGCGAGAUUCAUUUAGUGCAGACAUGACAUCGACCCAGAGGAGUGAAGGGAUGAACAAUGCCUUCAAAACAACAUUCAAUGGAAAACUCUCGCUUUCAGAGUUGCUAGAAAAAUAUGACAAGUGUGUCGCACGUCUUCGACGCGAAGAAAAAUAUGAAGAUUUUCAAUCGCGCCAUACAGACCCAGUGCUUUGCAUAGCUAGACAUCCUUUGUUGAAGGAGGCAGCUGCAUCAUACACGAGGUCACUCUAUACUUAUUUUGAAGAGGAAUUUCAGAGGCAGUUUACUUGGUCAUGCACUCUGUUGUGUAAUGAAAGCACAAUCAACACGUACAAAGUUAAAUCCUUUUAUCGAGAGGAUGGUGAAGCCAUUGUCGAUUUUAACCCAACAACUUUGGAGAUAUCUUGUUCUUGCAAGUUGUAUGGAUGUGUGGGUACGUAUACAUUCUUCGUCCGUCAACUAAUAUGAAAUUAUAGGAUUAACCUAAUGGUUUGCUAUUAAUUUUGUAGGUAUUUUGUGCAAGCAUGCUCAUAAAGUUUACAAUUUUUGUAAUAUUGUCACAUUGCCAAGCCAAUACAUAAUGAAUAGAUGGACAAAGUACGCAAAACAAGAUAUCUUCAAUUCUAAACUAGGGGUUAAUGAUAAUGCAGAAUUGCAGUGUGCCCAAAUUUCUCGAAAGAUGCUAUCGCUUGCAUUGAAGUGUAAACCCUCAAAGGAGGUUCUUCGACACCUAGACAAUGGUAUUGAUAAGUUGGCUUCUGAAGUAUGUGAGUUGCUAAGCAAAGUAAGUGUGGAUGAAAAUGAGGAGACAAGAUGUUAUGCUGAAUUUACCGCAGAUGUUGAUAAAGCACGGGUAUCAUUUCGAGCCCCUAAACGGAAAAAAGGCCCAAUGGAGAAACGGUCAAAAGAUGCACUGGAAGCACCAAAGAAAGGAAAAGAUAAGGCUACAUCAAAGAAAGGAAGAAGUAAGGCUGCAUCAAAGAAAGGUAGGUUUACUGUUUAUUUCCCUAGGUUCGAGUAGUUUCCCAUCUUAUACAAAAAUAACAUAAUGUGCAGGGGGAGGUAUAAAACAUACCGCAGUGUCACGUACAACCGAAUUAACAACACAUCCGGUUGGACCUUCAGAAUUUUUAGUAAGUAUAUCAAAUGUUUAUACUAUAUAAUUCUUAUAUUUACAUGGUGACAUAAUUUAUUAUAUUCAUUCUAUUUAAACAGGGGUCAUUGGAACUCAGAUCAGAGACGGGUAUGUUUAUUAUUUAUUUUCCUAGGUCUGAAUACUUUCUAUUUUUCCCUGUAAUCUCGCAUUUUUGAAUACAAACACAUAAAAAACACAAUAUGCAGGGAGAGGUAUAGGACAUUCGUCAGUGUCACGUACAAGGGAAUUAACAACACAUCCAAUUGGACCUUCGAUAUUCCCGGUAAGCAUAUCAGUAAAAGUUUAUACUAUAUGAUUCAUAUUUGACAUGGUGACAUAAUUUAUCCCAUUAAUUUAUUUAUAACAGGGGUCAUUCGAUCAUACAACGGAAUUAACAACAAAUCUGAUUGGACAUUCAGAAUUUCCCGUAAGCAUAUGAAUAAUGUUUUAUACUACGCGGUUCAUAUUUUUGACAUGGUCAAAUAAUUUAUUUCAUUCCUCUUACUGAAACAGGGGUCAUCAAAUCCGAAUGCUUGUUUUCAAAAUAUAGCUCCAUCAUUGGCGACAUCCCUGUCAUUUGGUGAUUAUUCUGCUUUCUAUGCUCCACCACGUAUUCCAGGGGAAUUUACAAGUUUGUUGCUUCAAGCUGAUAAACAAAACCCAAGACUGUCUACCGUUCGGCGAUUGGAUUUCAACGAAGGUACAAGUACAAGCAGGUUUCAGUGGUGACAUCUGUUCUAGUCAUCACAUAAACCACAAGAACAGGAGGCAACUGCAUUAGCAACGAGCUCAUGUGUCCUUUUCAUUUUCAUUGUCUGGGUUUUCCUUACGGACCUGUAAACAAAUAUAUUAAUUUUAGUGGUUGUUCUUUGGACCAUCAGGCCAACAAAACACAUCGAGAUGAACAUAUAUUUGUUUCUCAUGCUUCGAAAACCAUUCUAUGCAUUUCAAUUGUGCCAAAUGAGCUCAUGUGUCCUUUUCUUUUUCAUGUGUGGAUUGUACCUUAUAAAGAUGUAAACAAAUAUUGUACAUCCACACUUAGAUCAAAGCAUAGGUUCAGCAAGUCAUGCCGAAGAGGAGAGCAAACCAAAUUUGUGUAGUACUAAAUUGAAAAAAUCAUCAUGGCAAUAAAUGUAUUUGUUUCACAAAAUCAUCAUGGAGUUUGGGCAAUGAACAAUAUAAUUUCAUGGGAAUCAGUACAUGGGAUCGAUCGGUGGGCACGAACUUGUGAUAUACAAGCACGUAACGGAACCCAGCUUGAUACGUCUCGGCGCUGCUGUGGCCAAAACGAGUUGCUACGACCACUCACGGCGUCUUAGUGUGCACCAACAUGACCGUCAAGUCCGGCCAGAAAGCAAUCAUGGCAUACGGCCGCCAUGGUCGAGCCCAAGCAGUCCGUCUCGCCGCGACCAUGGAGACAAGCAAGUGCACCGGCAAGGAGCAGUUAGACGCAUCUCUACGAGGAGUCAGUCCGGCCGUCCCCAACGACGCCUUGGCGCACGGCCGCCAUGAACGUGCUGUCCGCCCGGCCAACAUCGUGGCGUGCAUCCGCCAUGGACGAGCCGUCCGACAGGCCGCCGGCGACGAGCUUCUUCGGCGAGGUCAUGGAAGAGAGGUCGUCGUUGCUGCGUAAUGCCGGUUGGCCGCCGCCGUCAAGGCCCUUGGGGUUUUGGAACGCGACGACGGAGACAAGCAAGUGCACUGGCAAGGAGCAGUUAGACGCGUCUCUACGAGGAGUCGGUCCGGCCGGCCGCAACGACGCCGUGGCGCACGGCCGCCAUGAACGUGGUGUCCGCCGGGCCAACAUCGUGGCAUGCAUCCGCCAUGGACGAGCCGUCCGACAGGCCGCCGGCGGCGAGCUUCUUCGGCGAGAUCAUGGAAGAGAGGUCCUCGCUGCUGCGUCGUGCCGGUUGGCCGCCGCCGUCGAGGCCCUUGGGCGUGGCCGCCAUAGACGCGAGGAAAAUAAAGAAAACCCUAGUCCCACGUACCUAUUAGAGCGAUGAAGGAUGUACGUACAUACGUACGUGGGGUUCUGGAAUCGGGAAUCAGCUGUUGGGAUUGAGAUCAGACGUGAAGUGGGAUUAGGAUGCUCUGAGAUUGUCAAUGCCACAUGUCGCUCAUUCGAUAGGGUCUCACAAGCUGGUCUAUGAGACCCGGUCUCAUACAAUUUUUUUCCUGCUAUAGCCGGGCGAUUGUUCAAGCGCCGACUCCCUUCUCUUUCUUCACUUCUCUCUCCUCUAGCUAGUACUUUUGCUGACCUGGACCGCUUAUAGCCUGCUGACUCAGGCUUAUUAUACUUGCUCUUACUCCCACUAUGACUAGCCUAAUGGCUCCGUGACUUACAGUUGUCUUUAGCGAGAUCUAAACAGGGGCGCUUGGCACACGAGUGAAACAUUUUCACCUCAUAGGUGGACCCAUUGGAACCACUUGUCACCGAAACAUUUCAAAUUUCUUUUGCAAGAACAUCUGAAACAUUUUGACACUACUGAAGUGCUACCUUUUGCCGAGAUGCACCUGCACCCAUAAGACUAUCCAUAAUGGGAGUAACAUAGAUAGUAACAUCACACAUAUCUGGAUAAAAUAGACAAUGUGGCAAGCAAUAAAUGAAGAAAUGGAGGAAAGUGAUAACAUAGCUAGUUACUAGUAGUAUGAGUAACAUCACACAUAUCAAGGCAAAAUGAGUCUAUAGCCUAAUAAAUGAAGUGUUGCAUGUUAUCACACAUAUGUUACUCCCCACUAUAGAGGUAGUAACAUAGACUAGUAACAUGUGCAUGUUACUAGUCUAUGUUACUACCCAUUGUGGCCAGUCUAAAAGAAUGGCACUACUAGAGUGCUACUUUUACCGAGAGGUGCCAAGGCCAAGCUGAGUCACCUCCUGGGCCGCAUCCGCUCCACCCCGUUCUUCACAUCAGAAUAGCGGUGAGCCCACGGAUCUGUCGUCCCCUAAGUGGAAGAAACGAGGAGGAGGCCCCGUCGGAUGGGUGGGAAGAUGGUGGCUAGGGAGAGGAGUGGCGGCGGCCCCCUCUGCCUACCACCGAGCUCAGGGAGAAAGAUGGCAGCCACGGCGGCAGGGAGUAUGCGAGCGAAUGUGGUGACUAGACACCAGGAGCUAGACGAGGUGGUCUAUGCCAAUGAAGAGGGCGUCCAUGUGGUUUGUUUUCCUGUAGAUUUCCUCUCUUAGUUGAUUUUAUUUUGUGGUCAAAAACAAUGGCAGAUCUCCUCAUCGACUGGUCUGACUUGGGGCUGAUUUUCCUCUUGCGAUUCCUAUUCAUGGCCCUGCUGUGGUUGUACCGUGGUCCGUGGGGAAUAGAAACGAACAUCUCUUCUACAACUGGCGUCAGGAUAGGCCAACCGGGGAGAGAUAGGAUCGUUGAGUCUUUUUACCCUCAUUCUGCCUCUCAGGUUACUAGGGCUAAAUGUUGAUUGAUCUGUUCUCUACCCAUGAUGCAGGAGACCUUUUACGGUACAUCAAAUGAAUUUGAACCAUUAAUUUUUGUGAUUCAAUGGCCCAGAUGCCCCAAUACUAUAAAAUGUAAUUCCAUGUUGGUAACUUAAUUUGGGUCUGGGAGGCCGAACUACCGAUCAAGCUCCAUUUUAUAGAUUUUAGGCUGGUCAUAGUGGGGAGUAACUUAGACUAGUAACAUGCAUAUGUUACUAGUCUAUGUUACUACCUUUAUAGUGCAUAGUAUCAUAGAUUAGUAUCAUAGGAGAUCUCAUUUAUUGCCAUGCAUGACACAUAGUACCAUCACAUUUAUUAUUUUACGGUAUCUACCUAUGUGUGACGCCCGGAUAAUCAAGCUACAGUAAACCUUUGCUAAUGAUGCCAUAUCAUCUCUGUUACUGUUGCUAAUCAAGUGUUAGUUCAAAACAUUUCAAAUUCAAAAAAUUGAAUUAGUGACAAACACCCAAAGUUUUCAAAAGUCAAAACAAAAAUGUUUGGUGGGUGCCCAAUAUUGCACUGGUAAUUAUAGUGGAGAAAACAUUUUUUUAGAAAGUGCCUAAAUAUUCUAAAGUGAAAAAAAAACAGAAAAGAAAAAUAAAGAAAAGAAAAGAAAAAGAACCCCUCCCCCACUGGACCAGGUGACCCAGCUCACAGGCCAGACCGGCCCACCUGGCCCAGCUUGCCAACCGCCGGCCCAUGCCUCCCUGCCUCGUCUCCCUUCCCUGUUCCCCCGACCCGGGUCAGAACAGGGGCGCGUCGCCACCGGACCCCCUCGCCGGCGUCGAGGAAAGGAUAAGGCCGCCACGCCCCCGCCUCCUCGAUCCCGCCUCCCACUCGCCCCCACUCUCGCCCUCGGUUCCUGCGCCUCUUCCUCUCCCCUCAGAUCCACCUCGCCACUCCCCCUCGUUCCCCACCGCAACCGAGUGCCGCCAUGGCCUCGCCGCCGUAGAACUCACGGCCACCGCGACCUCCAAGCCUCUCCGACGUGUCCGCUCGCUCUGCCUCCCUCGACUACGCCUCCUCGUCAAGCCGCAGGACGCCGGCCACCCUCGAACGCUGCCCCGGCCUCGUCUUCUUCCGCGGAUCCCCGGCGCAUCUCCGACGCGUGCCGUCGACGCUGCAGCUCCUAAACCCCCCAAGGGCCUUUCGUGUGUGCCGCUCGGUGAGCUCCACCCCUCCUGCUCUCCGUUUGCUCUCUCGCACGCCCUAGCUAGUUGCCGUCGAAGCACCCGAACGCAGCACCGCGGAGCUCGUCGCCGAUGAGUCUCCGGUGACCAACUGGUCACGAGCGUGUUGCCAUUGAACUCGCCGCGUCGAGUAGGGCCCGACUAGCUCUCACGUUUUCCCAAUAGCGCACCACAUCGCCGUUGCCGUUGCUCGCCCGAAACACCCCGCCACCGGCGACGUCGUACUACUCGUCUCCAGCCAACCCCGUGCCUGCGACCACCGCCACUCGACGCGCGCUGUCGUGUGCGUUCGAACACACCCAACCGCGCGUAAAAUUGUGCCCCAUACCACCAUUUGCCCUCACGCCCGACUCCGUCCGUCCGCUGAUGUGCUCGCCGCCGUCGCUUCCGGCCACCUCCGGCCAUGCCACCGCCGCCACUAGACGCGGGGCACUCUCCUCGUUCGAGCGUAAGAGACGGCGCUCAUUUUGGUGCCCCGUAGGUGAAACCCGACGCUCGCCGGCGUCCGGCCACUGCGCGCGAGCUCGCCGGAGCUACUCCGGCGGCUCUGCUAAGCUGGCACACCUGGGGCCACCCCUGGGUCACUGCCUGGUGGCCCCGCGGGCCCGGCUGGCCCAGUUGACCAGGUCAACGUGCUGACAGGGCCGGUCCCAGUAGUUGACCAGUGGCCCCCACACUAUAAACUAAUUAAUUAGUUAAUCUAAUAAAUCCGAGCUAAUUAGUCAUUGACUAAUGGGGCCCACACUUAGUUAAUAAUAGUUAGUUUAAAACAAAUCCAUUUUAGCUCUGGCUCAAUGACAGGUGAGUCCCACUGGACCCACAAGUCAGUUUUCACUCUAGUCAACUGCACUGUUGACUGCUGACAUCACACAUACGUCAUGCUCACGUCAUCCCAUACUGUUCUGGAUAAUGUUGGAUUUAAAUAAAUAAUUAAAAUCAGAAAAUGAUUAAAACUUUAGAAAAUCAUAUAAAAUAAUCCGUAAUUCGGAAGAAAAUACUUUCUAUAUGAAAGUUGCUCAGAACGACGAGACGAAUACGGAUAUGCAGCCCGUUCGUUCAUCCCAUGUCCCUAGCAUAGUGAUCCUGCAACAUUUCACCUCCGGUCCAUCUGUCCGAAAACGCGAAACACCGGGAAUACUUUCUCGGAUGUUCCCCCCCUUCGUCGGUAUCACCUACUACCAUCAUGGCCCCCCCUAACAACACUCAUUGUCAUGUCAUGCAUCGUCAUGCAUAUGUUUGCAUUAUAUUUAUUGUUUCUUCCCCCUCUUCUCUCGCUAGACUUUGAUACCGACGCUGCUGCUGCUGCCUAGUUCGACUACGGAGUUGACGACCCCUCCUACUUGCUCGAGCAACCAGGCAAGCCGCCCCCUUGAUCACCAGAUAUCGCCUAUUCUACUCUCUACUUCUUGCAUUAGAGUAGUAUAGCAUGUUACUGCUUUCCGUUAAUCAUAUCCUCAUGCAUAGCCUGUCCUUGCUACCACUGUUGUUACCCUACCUGCAAUCCUACAUGCUUAGUAUAGGAUGCUAGUAUUCCAUCUGUGGUCCUACAUUCUUGUCCAUCUGCCAUGCUAUACUAUUGGGCCGUGAUCACUCGGGAGGUGAUCACGGGUAUAUACUUAUAUACUUAAGAUAUAUGAUACUUGCGGUGACUAAAGUCGGGUCGGCUCGUAGGAGUACCCGCAAGUGGAUCUUAGUGGCGGAGCGGCAGGGCAGGUUGAGACCACCUAGGAGAGAGGUGGGACUGGCUCUGGUCGGCGUCCGCGGUUACUUCAUAAUAACACGCUUAACGAGAUCUUGGUAUUUGAACUGAGUUGGAUCGUUGACCUUAUACGCACUAACCGCCACGUGGGACAAGAUAUGGGCAACCGGCGUCGCGAUAUCAGCCGAAGCUCUUUUUGACAUCAGCGACUGAGCGGCGCGCGCCGCAUUGGACCGUAAACCCGCGCUUGUAUUAAGGGGGCUAGGUCUGCUUCCGGCCGCGUACGCAACAUGUAGGUGUGCAAUGGGCGAUGGGCCCAGACCCCUGCGCGCAUAGGAUUUAGACCGGAAUGCUGACCUCUCUGUUGAGCCUAGGUAGGGCUGCGACGUGUUGAUCUUCCAAGGCCGGGCAUGACCCAGGAAAGUGUGUCCGGCCAAAUGGGAUCGAGCAUGUCGGGUAAUGUGGUGCACCCCUGCAGGGAAGUUUAUCUAUUCGAAUAGCCGUGAUCUUCGGUAACAGGACGACUUGGAGUUGUACCUUGACCUUAUGACAACUAGAACCAGAUAUUAAUAAAACACACCCUUCCAAGUGCCAGAUACAACCCGGUGAUCGCUCUCUCACAUGUCGACGAGGAGAGGAUCGUUGGCUAGGAUUAUGCUAUGCGAUGCUACUUGGAGGACUUCAAUCUACUCUCUUGUACAUGCUGCAUGACGGAGGCUGCCAGAAGCGUAGUCUUCGAUAGGACUAGCUAUCCCCCUCUUAUUCUGGCAUUCUGCAGUUCAGUCCACCGAUAUUGCCCCUUUACACAUAUACCCAUGCAUAUGUAGUGUGGCUCCUUGCUUGCACGCGAGUACUUUGGAUGAGUACUCACGGUUGCUUCGCUCCCUCUUUCCCCCCUUUUUCCUCUUCAUCCCGGAUGCCGCAACCAGACGUUGGAGCCCAGGAUCCAGACGCCACCGUCGACGACGACUCCUACUACACUGGAGGUGCCUACUACUACGUGCAGGCCGCUGACGACGACUAGGAGUAGUUUAGGAGGAUCCCAGGCAGGAGGCAUGCGCCUCUUUCGAUCUGUAUCCCAGUUUGUGCUAGCCAUCUUAUGGCAACUUAUUUAACUUAUGUCUGUACUCAGAUAUUGUUGCUUCCGCUGACUCGUCUAAGAUUGAGCCUUGUAUUCGAGCCCUCUAGGCCCCUAGCUUGUAUUAUGAUGCUUGUAUGACUUGUUUUAUUUUAGAGUUGUGUUGUGAUAUCUUCCCGUGAGUCCCUGGUCUUGAUCGUACACGUUUGCAUGUAUGAUUAGUGUGCGAUUGAAUCGGGGGCGUCACAAGUUGGUAUCAGAGCUGACUGCGUGUAGGAAUCCCCCUUCCACACUCCUUGGCCGAAGUCGAGUCUAGACAUUGCAAAGCUUUUUACUAACUUGGCUGUGCGGCUUACGGGCCCACGUCGCCAUUGGGUGGUACUAGGAUCUUUUACUCCUCCACUACUAGAGAAAAGCUUAUUAGUGGCGCUGGUUUUUUACAUACUAGUAGCGCGAGCACCCGCGCUACUGCUAGGGCGCUACAGCUAUUAUUUAACAGUAGCGCGUUUCUGAACAAGCGCUGCAGCUAAAAUACUUAUUAGUAGUGCUGCUUCCUCCACCAGCGCUACUACUAUCAUCACUUAGUAGUAUCGCCCUAUUUUCUCCCCACGCUACAACUAGGCAAAUAGAAAUAAAAAAUAAAAAAGCAGUCAGGUGCAAUAUUCAUGGAAAUCAAGAAAAGUCCAGUGCAAAUAAACUAAGUUCACAGAACCAUCUCACAAACAUUAACGACAGUACCACAUUUAAUAUAACCACACAAUCUCACAAACUCAUAUAGUAGUCAACAAUGAAUGGAUCGAUCAUAGUUGAUAAGUCUACUAGGUAGUCAUACUAGCAUAUAUAUGGUUCAACAGCCACACGCAUGCAUAUGAAGUUCUAGAUGAUGUCGAUGACGACCAUCAUCCUCAAGCCUGGGCGGUGGGUGUUCCUGAUAGUAAUUAGGAUUGCCUGUCCAACAUGAAGAUUCUUGCCGACGAGGAAGCUCUUCCACCCAACCGAGUUGAAGUGUGUGCGACCGUCCAUGUCCACGCCGUACACACAAGUGGUGACGGAGCCCCUUGCGGUAAGGCGUAUUCCAGCAGAGCCUUCUUCAUCAGGCUUGAUACCACAACUCUCAGAUAGGCUCUUUGGCAAUUUCUGAAUAAGAAAAACAUAUCAAUUAAUAAGUAGCCUCACACAUUCUACACGGAGCAUAUAUAUCAUCGGACUCUACACUAAGCAUAUAUAUCAUCGGACUCUACACUAAGUAUAUAUAUCAUCGGACUCUACACUAAGUAUAACAAUAAAGCAUAUAAGAUUCACUAAGCAUAUAUAUCAUCGGACUCUACACUAAGUAUAACAAUAAAGCAUAUAAGAUUCACUAAGCAUAGAUUCACUAAGCAUAUAAGAUUCAGUAAGCAUAUAAAAUUCACUAAGCAUAUAUAUGAUCGGACUCUACACUAAAGUAUAACAAUAAAGCAUANNNNNNNNNNNNNNNNNNNNNNNNNNNNNNNNNNNNNNNNNNNNNNNNNNNNNNNNNNNNNNNNNNNNNNNNNNNNNNNNNNNNNNNNNNNNNNNNNNNNNNNNNNNNNNNNNNNNNNNNNNNNNNNNNNNNNNNNNNNNNNNNNNNNNNNNNNNNNNNNNNNNNNNNNNNNNNNNNNNNNNNNNNNNNNNNNNNNNNNNNNNNNNNNNNNNNNNNNNNNNNNNNNNNNNNNNNNNNNNNNNNNNNNNNNNNNNNNNNNNNNNNNNNNNNNNNNNNNNNNNNNNNNNNNNNNNNNNNNNNNNNNNNNNNNNNNNNNNNNNNNNNGACUCUACACUAAGUAUAUAUAUCAUCGGACUCUACACUAAGUAUAACAAUAAAGCGUAUAAGAUUCACUAAGCAUAUAAGUUUCACUAAGCAUAUAUAUCAUCGGACUCUACACUAAGUAUAACAAUAAAGCAUAUAAGAUUCACUAAGCAUAGAUUCACUAAGCAUAUAAGAUUCAGUAAGCAUAUAAGAUUCACUAAGCAUAUAUAUGAUCGGACUCUACACUAAAGUAUAACAAUAGAGCAUAUAAGAUUCACUAUGCAUAUAUAUCAUCGGACUCUACACUAAGUAUAGCAAUAAAGCAUAUCAUCCAAUUACUCUAAAAACUACAGUAAAUGCAACAUACCAUCAUAUGCCGAUCAACCAUGGUACUUGUCAGGCGGGUCACGAAUGGCACCCCGACGAAGUCAGCACGUGGCGGAAUGAUGUCCCAUAGGUUGCACACCUCCUCCUCGCUCAACUUCAUUCUUUGAGCUACGAUGGCAUCACGGAGUGGGUUGUCAUCAUCCUCAUCAUCCUCAUCAUCCUCAGAAUCUUCUGCUUUGUUGAUAUAAAUCACGUCCAGCUUGGGUCUUUCAGCUCUGAAGGAGAAGCUGAUCAACUCACCACCGGUGAUACGCAUGUUGUCGAUGAAACGGACCCAUCCAUCUCCUCCCACCCGCGUCAUCUUUCGUCCUUUCUCGAUCUCCAUAGUGUAGGGGCCCCCAGGAGCCUCAAAUCUCACAGAGUCUCCAGUCAGAUUGUUGAAUUCUGACCUCACAUUGCAUGGGACGAUAUGUGUACAAAAAGAAAAAUGAUAUAUACACGAUGCAUUAAUGCCAAUAACACUAAAAACAAAAUAGUAGUUACUAGUUUCAUAUAAUUUAUUACCACCGCAUGAAGAAAACUAGACUCGAAGUAGAUGCCAAACAGCGUGCCAGUUGCAAGGCUGCUGGCGCACCUUGACUUGCACCGUCGACAUGGUGGUGGUGGUGGUGGUGGCGCCAUUUCCCUAAAGCAAUAUGAUUAAAGGAUUAACGAUCCAAAAAUUAAACAUGAAGUUUUCAUAGCUAGAGUUCACAUGGCAAGCAAAAUAACAACUAAAAAGUAAACAUAAAGUUCAGUCGAACAAUCACAAAUUGCAAAAGUAGAGUGAUUGUAUGAUAAAACACAAGAGUUUCAUGCGCACCUCAAAUCUGUGUCAAACUUAUUCUGUCACAGACUCAAACAAAAUUAGAAUCCUAUCAGCAAAUUGCCAACGAAGCAUACCAAGAAAGCUAGCAAUCUAGUAAUCUAAUGUCCCCAACUCUUCAGAUGAAGCAUCGCUAUUAGCAUGAAAUUUGCACUAAACACAAGGUUAAACAAUACUAGUAGCUCAAUAAUCUAGAGAUGUAACAAACAAAUAUAUGGCAAAACAUAACAAUACUUUGAUCUCAUCUCAUCUUCGUUAAUUACAACAAAGCACACUAAAUAAACUACCCCUUUCUCAUAUCAGUAAUCCUAAAUCUUGAUGAUUUCUGAGUAUAGCACUUACAAAUUAACUAUUUUUCUAUGAUAGGAACAUGAGCUUGUAGCUUUGUCUCUCACAUGAACAACACCUAGUGGCCAAGCCCAUACUUUUUUGUCCAUGAACAUCACCUCAAAAAAAUCUAUAAUUGUUAACCAAACCGAACACUAACCCAUCUGACCAUUAAUAUUCAUUUGGGUUAAUUUGAGAAACAACAUGGCGAGCCGCCACGGCAAAUCGAUUGGAGCCUUUACGACGAACCCUAACUGAGAGAUCGAGAGGAGCUACUGUGGCACGCGCAGGGAGGAGGAGAUCGAGAGGGGGAGUUACGGGGCUGGAGCGUCGGAGGAGGCAAGAGGCGAACGCGCGUGGUGGCGGCGCACGGCAUCGUCGAUGGGGGUGAGGCGGCCAGGGACGAACCCUAACCGCGGCGACGUCGUCGUCGGGCGGAGGGGAUCAAUUGUGAGAGGAGGGGGGGUGCGGGGGUGCUCGAUCGGACCGGUUUUAUUUAGCUAUAGUAGUAGCGAUGGCUGGAGCACCACACUACUGCUAAGCCCACCAGAUGUGGCACCCUUUCAGACCAAACGCUACAGCUAAGUGGGCUACUGAUUCUGCCCUGCGGCCCUUGUAACAGUAGCGCGACCCAAGCAAACAAACGCUGCUAUUAUAUGUUAGUAGUAGCGUGUUUUCUACACAGCUCUACUGGUAAUUACUAGUAGUGUGGGGUCACAAAAACUCGCUACUAGUAAACUUCUAUCUAUAAGCAUUUUCCUAGUAGUGCUCGAUCUAUACUCUGGGACACUGAACUCUCUUCUAUUCGGGUUUAAAUGGUUUUACUAACUCUAACAUUAGGACCUCGUGAUCCCUUCCUCCCGGAGAGCCCCUUAUUAAAGAUGAUCGCCUGCUGCACUAGAAGAUUCCGAAGAUACUCUGUAGUGUUCUCUCAAGACUUUGUGUCAUCGCUUUUGCAUUCCCUACCACCGUUAUAUCCUUAGGGAUAACUGCAUACACUUGCCAGUCUUACGUUCAACCCCAUUGAUCUUGUUAAUACAAGAUGCCUCGAACUGCUCUCCGUUAUUCCGAGAAUCCUUUGAGCUCUGAAUUAGUCAGUUGUUUCUAUAAUCCAAUGCCUUUGCAUUGUUACUUCCUCUGGUUGUGUGGUCGAUACUCACAUCAGCUCCAUUAUGGACCGGCAGAUCCAUUGUUGGAUUUUAUCCAACAGUGUCCUUCAUAUUCAAUAACCUUGUGAGCCUUCCCUCAGAUACAUAAUGCCUUUGGUAAAUUGUAUCCUCUGCUAUCUCAACCAUGCUCAGCUUUCGACCUGGUGGUAUUUACUAUUGAAGCUUGUGGUAUAUGUUUCCAUGAUACCCUGAUGGAUUGAACCUAUGCCUUCCUUAAUAUGUGUGAACUCAAAAGUUUUCACGAGUAUUACUCUUCUGGUAUUUUGCCAGAUAAAAUUUCAACAGUACAACUUUUUCGAAAGUGAGAAGUGAAUGAAAGGUUAUGCAUUGGAGAAGUGGGAGUCGACCUUGAACUUUGUGUUCAUUCCCAUGUACACGAUGUAGAUCGUAUCAUUGAAGCUUCUCUUCAAUUAAAUAUCCCCUUGGUAUAAGUUCAUCUUAUAUCUGGGAUCUAGCAUUUUGCAAUUGUGGUUCCGGCCAUGUUCUCCUUUAAAUACCAUUUCUCGUGCAAGUUUAAGCACUCGUCUUCUGCAGAGCAAUACUCUACCCCAACCUCUACUUUGAUAUGUCGUCGAGUAUUACCCCCCUCGUAUCUCGAAAUUAUCUUGGAACUGCAUAAUUUCUUAUGAGUUCUUCAUCAAGUACUACAUUCUCACUGAUUACAAUUUUUCAUGGGCUCUGAGUUAUUAAACACCCAAAGACACCGAUAACUGAACCAAGUCUGCACUACGGUUCAAUGACACUUGGUAAUCUUCUUUAAGUACGAGUUUGUACCCGAUCACGCCAUUCCUAGCCUAUAUGGCUAUAUCAUUGUCGUGGUGACCUUAACCGUGCUACCUGGUCCUUAUUCUUGGAGCACCACUUCGACGAUGAGCUAAGCUUGCGUCGAUUUUCCUUGUCAUAUCAUUUCACCUUGAAUAGCAAGCAUGAUUUCAAGUUUGUGUCGUACCCUUGGUUCCAAUAACUUUUCGCUUCACCAUUCCUUUGACUUGAUGUCAUUGCCGACCGAUUACAUCUUCAAGAAACCUCUCGACAAGUGUGUCGUGAUCAUCGUCAACAUUUUAACUUCUUCUGAGAUAUCAAUUGAAUUCAUGAUGAGAAAUUCCAUGCUUGCCCCUCGAUGAUCUAUGUUAUCAUCAACCACAUCCUUGCCUUCCUUUCAAACACAGACUUGGUCUUGUUUUGAAUGAACUUUAAGUUCCUGGCUAUCCAGCUUAUCUUAUGUCCUACCUUGAAGUAAUACCAUCUUAUAUAUUAAGAAUGUUGUGAGAAUUGCUCCACCUCUUAAGAAUUCUUGGUAUAGUGAUACUUCUCACCAUCACUAUUCUUUCUUGUGUUGUUUCUAACCGGGAUACCAACAGGUGAACGGUGCUGUUUGGAUUCCGCUCUUCUAUCAACCCUAUUGCUUUGAAGUUAUUGAACUAUAGUUUCAUUCUAAGUCUAUUGCUUAUUGAAUCCUCAUUCGAACAUUGAUCUGCUACCUAGUCCAGAUUUCAGGGUGCACCUUUCAACCAAUGUUUAACUGUGUAUGUUUUCCUCGAGCAUACCUCAUUACAUCAUUUGAUCUGACAAAUGUUAUCUCCUUAUUCACAUAAGUGUGGAAAUCCAUCUUUUGAAAAUCUCAAUGAAUUGUCGCUGAGUUCAUUGCUACGUCUUGAGCUAGCGUUGGUUUUCCCCGAAGAGGAGAGGGUGAUGCAGCAAAGUGUAGCGUAAGUAUUUCCCUCAGUUUUGAGAACCAAGGUAUCAAUCCAGUAGGAGGCUCCUCAAAAGUACCACACACCUACACAAACAAACUGAGAACUCGCAACCAACGCAAUAAAGGGGUUGUCAAUCCCUUCACGGUCACUUACGAAAGCGAGAUCUGAUAGAGAAAGUAUGAUAAGAUAAAUAUAUUUUUGGUAUUUUGUGAUAUAGAUGCAGAAAAGUAAAGAUGCAAAUAAAAGUAGAUUGAAAGCAAAUAUGAUAAGAGAUAGACCCGGGGCCCAUAGGUUUCACUAGAGGCUUCUCUCGAGAGCAUAAGUAUUACGGUGGGUGAACAAAUUACUGUCGAGCAAUUGAUAGAAAAGAGAAUAAUUAUGACGUUAUCUAGGCAUGAUCAUGUAUAUAAACAUCACGUCCAUAACAAGUAGACCGACUCCUUCCUGCAUCUACUACUAUUACUCCACACAUCGAUCGCUAUCCAGCAUGCAUCUAGUGUAUUAAGUUCAUAAGAACAGAGCAACGCAUUAAGCAAGAUGACAUGAUGUAGAGGGAUAAACUCAAGCAAUAUAAUAUAAACCCCAUCUUGUUAUCCUCGAUGGCAACAAUACAAUACGUGUCUGGCAACCCUUUCUGUCACUGGGUAAGAUCACCGCAAGAUUGAACCCAAAGCUAAACACUUCUCCCAUGGCAAGAAAGAUCAAUCUAGUAGGCCAAACCAAACUGAUAAUUCGAAGAGACUUGUAAAGAUAACUCAAUCAUACAUAAAAGAAUUCAGAGAAGAUUCCAAUAUUAUUCAUAGAUAAACUUGAUCAUAAACCCACAAUUCAUCGGAUCUCGACAAACACACCGCGAAAAGAGAUUACAUCGAAUAGAUCUCCACAAGAGAGGGGGAGAACAUUGUAUUGAGAUCCAAAAAGAGAGAAGAAGCCAUCUAGCUAAUAACUAUGGACCCGUAGGUCUGUGGUAAACUAUUCACAACUCAUAGGAGGGGCAAGGAUGUUGAUGUAGAGGCCCUUCGUUGUCGAUUCCCCCUCCGGCAGAGUGCCGGCGAAGGCUCCAAGAUGGGAUACCGCGGAUACAGAAGGUUACAGCGGUGGAAAUUGUGUUUCGUGGUGCUCCUGGAUGUUUUCCGGGUCUGUGGAUAUAUAUAGGAGAAAGAUGUACGUCGGUGGAUGCCCGAGGGGCCCACGAGACAGGGGGCGCGCCCCUAGGGGGGCGCGCCCUCCUAUCUCGUGGGGCCCUCGAGAUUUCUUGACUUGCACUCUAGGCUCUCCGGAUCAGAUUUGUUCCAAAAAUAACGCUCCCGAAGGUUUCAUUCCGUUUGGACUCCGUUUGAUAUUCCUUUUCUUCGAAAUACUGAAAUAGGCAAAAAAAAAAACAAUAUGGGCUCGGCCUCCGGUUAGUAGGUUAGUCCCAAAAAUGAUAUAAAUGUGUAGAAUAAAGCCCAUAAACAUCCAAAAGGGGUAAUAUAAUAGCAUGGAACAAUCAAAAAUUAUAGAUAUGUUGGAGACGUAUCAAGCAUCCCCAAGCUUAAUUCAUGCUCGUCCUCGAGUAGGUAAAUGAUAAAAAGAGAAUUUUUGAUGUGGAAUGCUACCUAGCAUAAUUCAUAAUGUAAUUUUAUUUCAUUGUGGCAUGAAUGUUUAGAUCCAAAUAAUACAAAAUAAAAGUUCAUAAAGACAUAAGAAAUAGUAAUACUUCAAGCAUACUAAUCAAGGUAAUCAUGUCUUCUCAGAAUAACAUGGCUAAAGAAAGUUAUCCCUACAAAAUCAUAUAGUCUGGCUAUGCUUUAUCUUCAUCACACAAAGUAAUUAAUCAUGCACAACCCCGAUGACGAGCCAAGCAAUUGUUUCAUACUUUAAUAAUCUCAAACUCUUUCAACUUUCACGCAAUACAUGAGCGUGAGCCAUGGACAUAACACUAUGUGUGGAAUAGAAUGGUGGUUGUGGAGAAGACAAAAAGGAGAAGAUAGUCUCACAUCAACUAGGCGUAUCAAUGGGCUAUGGAGAUGCCCAUUAAUUUAUAUCAAUGUGAGUGAGUAGGGAUUGACAUGCAACGGAUGCACUAGAGCUAUAAAUAUAUGAAAGCUCAACAAAAGAAAACUAGUGGGUGUGCAUCCAACUUACUUGCUCACGAAGACCUAGGGCACUUUUGAGGAAGCCCAUCAUUGGAAUAUACAAGCCAAGUUCUAUAAUGAAAAAAUCCCACUAGUAUAUGAAAGUGACAACUUGUGAGACUCUCUAUCAUGAAGAUCAUGGUGCUGUUUUGAAGCACAAGUGUGGAAAAAGAGAUAGUAGCAUUGUCCCUUCUCUCUUUUUCUCUCAUUUUAUAUAUUUUUUCUUUUUCUUUUUUCUUUUUUUUUCUUUCUUUCUGUGGCCUUUUCUUUUUUUAUUUUUGGCCUUUCUCUUUUUUUCUCUUUUCUCCCCUUUUUUUCUGUAAAGUCCGAAGUCUCAUCCCGACUUGUGGGGAAAUCAUAGCCUUCAUCAUCCUUUCCUCACAAGGACAAUGCUCUAAUAAUGAAGAUCAUCACACUUUUAUGGAUUUACAACUCAAAGCUAGAACAAGAUAUGACUCUAUAUAAAUGCCUCCGACGGUGUACCGGCAUAUGCAAUGACUCAAGAGCGACAUGUAUGAAAAUUAUGAAGGUGGCCUUGCCACAAAUACGAUGUCAACUACAUGAUCAUGCAAAGAGCACUAUGACAAAAGUAAUGUGUGUCAUAUGAACGGAACGGUGGAAAGUUGCAUGGCAAUAUAUCUCGGAAUGGCUAUGGAAAUGCCAUAAUAGGUAGGCAUGGUGGCUGCUUUGAGGAAGGAGUAUGGUGGGUGUAUGGUACCGGCGAAAAUUGUACGGCACAAAAGAGGCUAGCAAUGGUGGAAGGGUGAAAGGGUGCGUAUAAUCCAUGGACUCAACAUUAAUCAAAAGAACUCAUAUACUUCUUGCAAAAAUUUAGAAGUCAUCAAAAAUUAAAGCACUACGCGCAUGCUCCUAGGGGGAUAGAUUGGCAGGAAAAGACUAUCGCUCGUCCCCGACUGCCACUCGUAAGGAAUACAAUCAAUAAAUAAAAUUGUUCUCCAAGUUCAUCACAAAGCGGUUCACCAUACGUGCAUGCUACGGGAAUCACAAACUUCAACACAAGCAUUCUUCAUAAUCACCCAACUAGCAUGACUUUAAUAUUACUACCUCCAUAUCUCAAAACAAUUAUCAAGUAUCAAGUUGAUCAUAGCAUCCAAUUCACUUCCUAUGAUAGUUUUAAUUAUACCCAACUUGGAUGCUCAUCAUUCUAGGACCAACUUUGUAACAAAAGCAAAUACCAUGCUGUUCUAAGAGACUCUCAAAAUGAUAUAAGUGAAGCAUGAUAUACUAGUAAUUUCUUCAAAAUUAAGACACCACCGUCUUGCUCUAAAAGAUAUAAGUGAAGCACUAGAGCAAAAACUAUCAAGCUCAAAAGAUAUAAGUGAAGCACAUAGAGUAUUCUAGCAAAUUCUAAUCAAAUAGGCUUCUCGCAAAAGGUGUGUACAGCAAGUAUGAUUGUGGCAAACUAACAAGCAAAUACUAAUAUAAUACACGACGCUCCAAGAAAAACACAUAUCAUGUGGCGAAUAAAAAUAUAGCUCCAAGUAAAGUUACCAAUGAACGAAGAGGAAAGAGGGGAUGCCUUCCCGGGGCAUCCCCAAGCUUAGGCUUUUGGCUACUGUUGAAUAUCUUGGGCUGCCAUGGGCAUUCCCAAGCUUAGGCUCUUGCCACCCUUUAUUCCAUAGUCCAUAAAGGCUUUACCCAAAACUUGAAAACUUCACAACACAAAACUCAACAGGAAAUCUUAUAAGCUCCGUUAGUGAAAGAAAACAAAACCACCACAUAAGGUACUGCAAUGAACUCAUUCUUUAUUUAUUUUGGUGUUAAACCUACUUUAUUCCAACUUACUUAUGGUUUAUAAACUAAUUCAUUAGCCAUAGAUACAUUGAAAUAAGCAAACAACACACGAAAAACAGAAUCUGUCAAAAACAGAACAGUCUGUAGCAAUAUGUAACUAACGCAAACUUAUGGAACUCUAAAAGUCCUACCAAAAUAGCACGUACUGGACAAUUUGACUAUUGAUCAGCAGAAAAAAGAAUCAAUGCCAAAGCAUGUUUCUGUGAUUUAUUGAAUUUUUUCUGGUGAGUACAAAGUUUCUGUUUUUCAGCAGAAUCAAAUCAACUAUCAUCAUGGUUUAUCCUAUAGGUUCUACUUGGAACAAACACUAAUUAAAAGAUAAAAACACAUCUAAACAGAGAGUAGAUGCAAGAUUUUAUUUAAUAACAGCAAGGAAAAAUAUUGGGUUGCCUCCCAACAAGCGCUUUUCUUUAAAGCCUUUUUAGCUAGGCAUUGAGAUUUCAAUGAUGCUCACACGAAAGACAAGAAUUGAAGCAUAAAGAGAGCAUCAUGAAACACGUGACAAACACAUCUAAGUCUAACAUACUUCCUAUGCAUAGGCAUAUUAUAAGCAAACAAAUUUCCACGGCAAGCAAGAACUAGCAUAUGCAAGGAAGAAGAAAGAGACGAUAGCAAUCUCAACAUGACGAGAGGUAAUUUAAUAAGAUAAAAAUUUCUACGACCAUAUUUUCCUCUCUCAUAAUAAUUACAUAUAGGAUCAUAGGCAAAUUCAACAAAAUAGCUAUCACAAAACAUAUUUUCAACAUGAUCCACAUGCAUGCAAAGUUGACACUCUUCCAAGAUAGUGGGAUUAACAUUGACUAAAGUCAUGACUAAAUAUGUGGGAUCUAAAGUUGACACUCUUCCAAACCCACUUUCAAUAUUGUUGCAAACACUAUUAUCAAUCUCAUAUUCAUCAUGGGGCUUAAAUAAAUUUUCAAGGUUAUAAGAAGAAUCACCCCAGUCAUGAUCAUUGAAACAAGUAGUAGACAUAGCAAAACUAGCAUCCCCAAGCUUAGGGUUUUGCAUAUUAUUAGCACAAUUGACACCAAGAGAAUUUAUAGGAAAAUCAUCGCAAUCAUGCUUUUUAUUCAAGGAGUUAUUGUGAAUCUCUUUAUAAAUUUCUUCAUCACAAUUUUCAGAUUCACGAAUUUCAAGCAAAACUUCAUAAAGAUAAUCUAGUGCACAAAACUCACUAGCAAUUGGUUUAUCAUAAUUGGAUCCCUUAAAAAGAUUAGAAAGUGGAUGAGGAUCCAUAGAUCUUGGGUUCUCUGUUUAGCAAUAAAUAAGCAUCUACUCCAACCAAACGAGCAAACGUAAGGGCAAGCAAAAGGGAGAAGAGAUUGGGAAAGAGAGGGCAAAUAAAACGGCAAGGGUGAAGUGGGGGGAGAGGAAAAUGAGAGGCAAAUAAUGUAAACGCGAGGGAGAUGGGUUUGUGAUGGGUACUUGGUAUGUCUUGACUUGACCGAAGACCUCCCCGGCAACGGCGCCAGAAAUCCUUCUUGCUACGUCUUGAGCUAGCGUUGGUUUUCCCCGAAGAGGAGAGGGUGAUGCAGCAAAGUGUAGCGUAAGUAUUUCCCUCAGUUUCGAGAACCAAGGUAUCAAUCCAGUAGGAGGCUCCUCAAAAGUCCCACGCACCUACACAAACAAACUGAGAACUCGCAACCAACGCAAUAAAGGGGUUGUCAAUCCCUUCACGGUCACUUACGAAAGUGAGAUCUGAUAGAGAAAGUAUGAUAAGAUAAAUAUAUUUUUGGUAUUUUUUGAUAUAGAUGCAGAAAAGUAAAGAUGCAAAUAAAAGUAGAUUGAAAGCAAAUAUGAUAAGAGAUAGACCCGGGGGCCAUAGGUUUCACUAGAGGCUUCUCUCGAGUGCAUAAGUAUUACGAUGGGUGAACAAAUUACUGUCGAGCAAUUGAUAGAAACGCGAAUAAUUAUGACGUUAUCUAGGCAUGAUCAUGUAUAUAGGCAUCACGUCCAUAAGAAGUAGACGAACUCCUGCCUGCAUCUACUACUAUUACUCCACACAUCGACCGCUAUCCAGCAUGCAUCUAGUGUAUUAAGUUCAUAAGAACAGAGCAACGCAUUAAGCAAGAUGACAUGAUGUAGAGGGAUAAACUCAAGCAAUAUGAUAUAAACCCCAUCUUGUAUCCUCGAUGGCAACAAUACAGUACGUGUCUUGCAACCAUUUCUGUCAUUGGGUAAGAUCACCGCAAGAUUGAACCCAAAGCUAAACACUUCUCCCAUGGCAAGAAAGAUCAAUCUAGUAGGCCAAACCAAACUGAUAAUUCGAAGAGACUUGUAAAGAUAACUCAAUCAUACAUAAAAGAAUUCAGAGAAGAUUCCAAUAUUAUUCAUAGAUAAACUUGAUCAUAAACCCACAAUUCAUCGGAUCUCGACAAACACACCGCAAAAAGAGAUUACAUCGAAUAGAUAUCCACAAGAGAGGGGGAGAACAUUGUAUUGAGAUCCAAAAAGAGAGAAGAAGCCAUCUAGCUAAUAACUAUGGACUCGUAGGUCUGUGGUAAACUACUCACACCUCAUAGGAGGGGCAAGGAUGUUGAUGUAGAGGCCCUCCGUGGUCGAUUCCCCCUCCGACAAAGUGUCGGCGAAGGCUCCAAGAUGGGAUCUCGCGGAUACAGAAGGUUACGACGGUGGAAAUUGUGUUUCCUGGUGCUCCUGGAUGUUUUUGGGGUCCGUGGAUAUAUAUAUAGGAGAAAGAAGUACGUCGGUGGACGCCCGAGGGGCCCACGAGACAAGGGGGUGCGGCCCUAGGGGGGCGCCCUCCUAUCUCGUGGGGCCCUCGGAGAUUUCUUGACUUGCACUCCAGGCUCUUCGGAUUAGAUCUUUUGCAAAAAUAACGCUCCCGAAGGUUUCAUUCCGUUUGGACUCCGUUUGAUAUUCUUUUCUUCAAAAUACUGAAAUAGGCAGAAAAAUAACAAUAUGGGUUGGGCCUCCGGUUAGUAUGUUAGUCCCAAAAAUGAUAUAAAUGUGUAGAAUAAAGCCCAUAAACAUCCAAAAGGUGUAAUAUAAUAGCAUGGAAUAAUAAAAAUUAUAGAUACGUUGGAGACGUAUCAUUCAUCAGCCACCUCCUCGUCCUCUCCGUGGUUGAAUGAUGAACUCAUGAUUCAGAACUUGCUUCCAUAGUUCAUUUCCCAAGAAUUUUGCAACUCCAUCUCGUCAAAUUGUGUUGCACCCCUUCCUUCUCAGGCAUCAUGAGUCUGAGGUAUCCUGACACCAAUCAGAACUGAAUCUCAGUCAGAUAUGAUGGUUGGGACAUUUUCCAAAAGCCGUAACAUUGGACUUUGUAUAGCCCAGUAAGGUGAUGUCAUGCCUACCGCACCGGGCCGGAGGACCCAUUGUUAUAGUUUUCCUUUUCAGCAAGGUUAUCCAUUCUUUCAUGAGGAAAUUGUAAGACUUAUUCAAUAAGUUGCUCCUGAUGGAUCAUUUGUGUAUCCAAAGUCUGGCCCUUGAUUGAAACACCAUAUCAUUGCUACCUCGAAGCAUGACUAUGAUACCCCGCUCUUCAACAAGAACAUUGGAGGCACGAUGCUAAAUGUUUCUUUGUCAGUUAUCCAAACACCGUUGUAUGGGUAACAUCUUGAUUAAUCCUUGCCUCUUAUCUAAAUGGUUGGGUACUUGCUCUCCUACCCUGUAUGCCAUGUUCUGUUUGUACAUGGGUAGGAUAUACUCCUAAUAAUUGUGUAUAUAUAAUCACGAUUUUCCUUUCCAUAGUUCUGUUUAAUCUGAUAAU
rnacentral:lncRNA from 1 species